GGCACAAUUACAUGGUACGAAUUAUGUUUCACCUUCAGCUAGUGCAUAUUGUAUUCCAUGUUCACAUUUUCAGAUUCUUUCAAAAAAUCAUCUUCCAACAUUUAUUCUCCUAUGACAAAAUUAGGAGCCAAUUUCAACAGAACAUAACCAAUCCAAAAUUUCAUAUUUAUACAAAAUAAUGAUUUCAACAUAACAAUCCAUUUUCACAUGUUCUGAAUGGUAUAUAUAUCAUCUACUUUAUUUACUAAACUUUUGAGAUACCACAAAAUUACUUAGUACCCUUCACAAAUACCUAAAUUUCAGAUAUUUGAAUGAUCACAAAAUUAUUUGAAAUAGCAUAAUCGGGAUUGAGAUCCGGUCAUUGAUAACAUUAUAUUUCUGUCCUAACCUUUUUAGAAUAUGAAAUUAAAAAAUUAUAAAUUGCUGAAUAAAUGCAAUCAUACCUUCCUAUAUUAUACUCGGGCAAUGAUGACUUUGUUGCGAGUUCCGAAAAAUGCCCACGUCGGAGUUCUACAACCAUUGCCAAGAUGGAGACUCGCUGGUGAUGUCGAGGGGAUUGGAUGUGAAAUUAUGCCUCGAAUGGAUUCGUGUGAACCUGGCAGUGUAGUAAUGAUGAGUAACUCAAUAUUUGGGGAAAAUGUUGAUGCUAGAGUUGUACCAACAUGGCCCGGAUGGAAAGUCACCGGUGACGUCGACGAUAUCGAAUGACAAAUUAGGGUUGGAUUUUGAUUUUAUGCGAAGCGGGUGUGAACUACUGGUAAAUCAUUUUACU
rnacentral:lncRNA from 1 species